UGCAAGUCGAGCGGGGUGAAGUGCUUCGGUACUGAUCCUAGCGGCGGACGGGUGAGUAAUGCUUAGGAAUCUGCCAUUUAGUGGGGGACAACAUUCCGAAAGGAAUGCUAAUACCGCAUACGUCCUACGGGAGAAAGCAGGGGAUCUUCGGACCUUGCGCUAAAUGAUGAGCCUAAGUCGGAUUAGCUAGUUGGUGGGGUAAAGGCCUACCAAGGCGACGAUCUGUAGCGGGUCUGAGAGGAUGAUCCGCCACACUGGGACUGAGACACGGCCCAGACUCCUACGGGAGGCAGCAGUGGGGAAUAUUGGACAAUGGGCGGAAGCCUGAUCCAGCCAUGCCGCGUGUGUGAAGAAGGCCUUUUGGUUGUAAAGCACUUUAAGCGAGGAGGAGGCUACCUGGAUUAAUACUCUAGGAUGGUGGACGUUACUCGCAGAAUAAGCACCGGCUAACUCUGUGCCAGCAGCCGCGGUAAUACAGAGGGUGCGAGCGUUAAUCGGAUUUACUGGGCGUAAAGCGUGCGUAGGCGGCUGAUUAAGUCGGAUGUGAAAUCCCUGAGCUUAACUUAGGAAUUGCAUUCGAUACUGGUCAGCUAGAGUAUGGGAGAGGAUGGUAGAAUUCCAGGUGUAGCGGUGAAAUGCGUAGAGAUCUGGAGGAAUACCGAUGGCGAAGGCAGCCAUCUGGUCUAAUACUGACGCUGAG
rnacentral:rRNA from 1 species